GCCCUUGUAGCUCAGUUGGCAGAGCACAUCCUUGGUAAGGAUGAGGUCACCGGUUCGAUCCCGGUCAAGGGCU
rnacentral:tRNA from 1 species